rnacentral:rRNA from 1 species
GACAGAGGCGGCAAGCGUUGCUCGGAAUCACUGGGCUUAAAGCGCACGUAGGCGGUUCAUCAAGUGUCCUGUGAAAUCCCUCGGCUCAACCGAGGAACUGCAGGGCAAACUGGUGAACUUGAGGACGGUAGGGGUGCUUGGAGCUCUAGGUGGAGCGGUGAAAUGCGUAGAGAUCUAGAGGAACGCCGGCGGGGAAGCCGAAGCACGGGGCCGUUUCUGACGAUGAGGUGCGAAAGCGUGGGGAGCAAACAGG